rnacentral:snRNA from 1 species
GUCCUUACCUGGUGGGGGGAGGGGGGAUACUGUGAUCAUCAAGGUCGUCUUCCCACUCUGAGGCUCAACUCAUUGAAUUCCAGAUCCGUUAUGUCUGCAAUUCCCCCAAACUCGGGCAUUGGGACUACAUCAUUUGUGGUACCAGGGACAACAUCUGCACCUUCCUCU